rnacentral:rRNA from 1 species
ACGGGUGAGUAACGCGUGGGUAACCUACCCUGUACACACGGAUAACAUACCGAAAGGUAUGCUAAUACGGGAUAAUAUAUUUGAGAGGCAUCUCUUAAAUAUCAAAGGUGAGCCAGUACAGGAUGGGCCCGCGUCUGAUUAGCUAGUUGGUAAGGUAACGGCUUACCAAGGCGACGAUCAGUAGCCGACCUGAGAGGGUGAUCGGCCACAUUGGAACUGAGACACGGUCCAAACUCCUACGGGAGGCAGCAGUGGGGAAUAUUGCACAAUGGGCGAAAGCCUGAUGCAGCAACGCCGCGUGAGUGAUGAAGGCCUUCGGGUCGUAAAACUCUGUCCUCAAGGAAGAUAAUGACGGUACUUGAGGAGGAAGCCCCGGCUAACUACGUGCCAGCAGCCGCGGUAAUACGUAGGGGGCUAGCGUUAUCCGGAUUUACUGGGCGUAAAGGGUGCGUAGGCGGUCUUUCAAGUCAGGAGUGAAAGGCUACGGCUCAACCGUAGUAAGCUCUUGAAACUGGGAGACUUGAGUGCAGGAGAGGAGAGUGGAAUUCCUAGUGUAGCGGUGAAAUGCGUAGAUAUUAGGAGGAACACCAGUUGCGAAGGCGGCUCUCUGGACUGUAACUGACGCUGAGGCACGAAAGCGUGGGGAGCAAACAGGAUUAGAUACCCUGGUAGUCCACGCUGUAAA